CCGACUAUAGCUCAGUUGGUAGAGCGGGAGACUGUAGUGAAACAGCCUAUCUCUAGGUCACCUGUUCGAAUCAGGUUGGUCGGA